AUUGAACGCUGGCGGCAGGCCUAACACAUGCAAGUCGAGCGGAUGAGUGGAGCUUGCUCCUUGAUUCAGCGGCGGACGGGUGAGUAAUGCCUAGGAAUCUGCCUGGUAGUGGGGGACAACGUUUCGAAAGGAACGCUAAUACCGCAUACGUCCUACGGGAGAAAGGGGGGGAUCUUCGGACCUCACGCUAUCAGAUGAGCCUAGGUCGGAUUAGCUAGUUGGUGAGGUAAAGGCUCACCAAGGCGACGAUCCGUAACUGGUCUGAGAGGAUGAUCAGUCACACUGGAACUGAGACACGGUCCAGACUCCUACGGGAGGCAGCAGUGGGGAAUAUUGGACAAUGGGCGAAAGCCUGAUCCAGCCAUGCCGCGUGUGUGAAGAAGGUCUUCGGAUUGUAAAGCACUUUAAGUUGGGAGGAAGGGCAGUAAGUUAAUACCUUGCUGUUUUGACGUUACCAACAGAAUAAGCACCGGCUAACUUCGUG
rnacentral:rRNA from 1 species